rnacentral:rRNA from 1 species
CCUACGGGCGGCAGCAGUGGGGAAUAUUGGACAAUGGGGGAAACCCUUAUCCAGCGACGCCGCGUGAGGGAAGAAGGUUUUCGGAUUGUAAACCUCUGUCAGUGGGGACGAUAAUGACGGUACCCACGGAGGCCGCCACGGCUACCUACGUGCCAGCAGCCGCGGUAAUACGGAGGUGGCAAGCGUUGUCCGGAAUUACUGGGUGUAAAGGGAGCGUAGGCGGGAUGUCAAGUCAGAAGUGAAAAUUAUGGGCUCAACUCAUAACCUGCUUUUGAAACUGGUAUUCUUGAGUGAAGUAGAGGCAAGCGGAAUGCCUGGGGUAGCGGUGAAAGGCGGAGAUAUGGGGAGGAACACCGGGGGCGAAGGGGGUUUGCUGGGCUUUGACUGACGCUGAGGCACGAAAGCGUGGGGAGCAAACAGGAUUAGAUACCCCAGUAGUC